AACACUUGAGAACCAUGAGACU
rnacentral:miRNA from 1 species